AUGAAUUAUUUUAAAAGCUUAGUCAUAGUUUAUGAUCAGCUAGUUAAUUGAGGAGUGCAUUAUAAUUAUAAGAUUCAUUUGCCAGAUUUUAAGAGACACAAUAAGUUUUGACUUUUCCUCCCUAUUUAAUUUUUCCUGUUUAUUUCUUUUUCCUUUAGAUUUCAUUGUUAUAGCAUUCGCUAUUUUUGUCACACAGCUACGUAGUCUGACCAGUCCAUCGCAAACCGGUCUGAAGACGUGCGAACUGUUCAAGAAACAGAAAGAAGAGUCAAUCUUGAGCAUAAUUCUAAAUUCAAGAAAGACGGCUGCAGAACUCAGGGACUAAUUGUCCACAGAUGUGUAGCUGCACUGGACUGAAGACCCAGAGUUUCAC
ensembl:lncRNA